rnacentral:tRNA from 1 species
GCGGGUAUGGUGAAAUUGGUAGACACAAGGGAUUUAAAAUCCCUCGCUUAAUCGCAUACGAGUUCGAGUCUCGUUACCCGCA